rnacentral:rRNA from 1 species
UAGGGAAUCUUCCGCAAUGGGCGAAAGCCUGACGGAGCAACGCCGCGUGAGUGAUGAAGGUCUUCGGAUCGUAAAACUCUGUUAUUAGGGAAGAACAAAUGUGUAAGUAACUAUGCACGUCUUGACGGUACCUAAUCAGAAAGCCACGGCUAACUACGUGCCAGCAGCCGCGGUAAUACGUAGGUGGCAAGCGUUAUCCGGAAUUAUUGGGCGUAAAGCGCGCGUAGGCGGUUUUUUAAGUCUGAUGUGAAAGCCCACGGCUCAACCGUGGAGGGUCAUUGGAAACUGGAAAACUUGAGUGCAGAAGAGGAAAGUGGAAUUCCAUGUGUAGCGGUGAAAUGCGCAGAGAUAUGGAGGAAAACCAGUGGCGAAGGCGACUUUCUGGUCUGUAAAUGACGCUGAUGUGCGAAAGUGUGGGGAUCAAACAGG